UACGGAGGGUGCGAGCGUUGUCCGGAAUCACUAGGCGUAAAGGGCGCGUAGGCGGCUCAUGAAGGCUGUGGUGAAAGUCCGGGGCUCAACCUCGGAUCGGCCGUGGCGACUCGUGGGCUGGAGCACUGUAGAGGCGGGUGGAAUUCCGGGUGUAGCGGUGGAAUGCGUAGAGAUCCGGAAGAACACCAGUGGCGAAGGCGGCCCGCUGGGCAGUGGCUGACGCUGAAGCGCGACAGCGUGGGGAGCAAACAGG
rnacentral:rRNA from 1 species